rnacentral:rRNA from 2 species
AAGCUCGUAGUUGAAUUUCGGGAUCAAUGAGUUGGUCGUGCCCUUGGUAUGAACUGGCUUUAUUGGUUCUCACCUUCUAAUGAACCAUAAUGUCAUUCAUUUGAUGUUUUGGGGAAUUAGGACUGUUACCUUGAAAAAAUUAGAGUGUUUAAAGCAGGCUCACGCUUGAAUACAUUAGCAUGGAAUAAUGAAAUAGGACAUCGCAUUCUAUUUUGUUGGUUUCUAGGAUCGAUGUAAUGAUUAAUAGGGAUAGUUGGG